rnacentral:rRNA from 1 species
GACGAACGCUGGCGGCGUGCUUAACACAUGCAAGUCGAACGGAAAGGCCCCAGCUUGCUGGGGUACUCGAGUGGCGAACGGGUGAGUAACACGUGGGUGAUCUGCCCUGCACUCUGGGAUAAGCCUGGGAAACUGGGUCUAAUACCGGAUAGGACCGUGCUUUAGUGUGUGCGGUGGAAAGUUUUUCGGUGCAGGAUGAGCCCGCGGCCUAUCAGCUUGUUGGUGGGGUACUGGCCUACCAAGGCGGCGACGGGUAGCCGGCCUGAGAGGGUGUACGGCCACAUUGGGCCUGAGACACGGCCCAGACUCCUACGGGAGGCAGCAGUGCGGAAUAUUGCACAAUGGGCGCAAGCCUGAUGCAGCGCCGCCGCGUGGGGUAUGACGGCCUUCGGGUUGUAAACCCCUUUCGGCAGGGACGAAGCUUUUGUGACGGUACCUGCAUAAGAAGCACCGGCUAACUACGUG